UGCAAGGCCGCCCGCUUGUGCGGCGAAGCGGGCCAGCCUCAGCCCACCCCCUGGUUUUCCUCCCAGCCCGGAGUCACCAGGCCUCAGAGUGAAAUAGUCGCUGUCGGUGUUCCCGGGAAGAGCCUGGCGUGGUUGGGAUCUUUGCAUUCUUGUUUAACAAUCCCGCAGCCGCGCUGGCGCGGGUACUAUCGUCCCCUUCUUAAAGAAGGGAAACUUUGCAGCUGGAAGAGUUCAAUCAGCCGUGAAGGGGCACCCAGCUGGAAAGAAGCAUGUGGGCCCCCAGGCUUGUUCGCACAUAAAAUAGGUUGCCUUCAGGAGAGGAACGCGGAGCUUAGGAGAUCCACGACUUGAGAGUGAGCAGCGGUAGCAAGCCUGUUCUUUGUUCCACGCAGAGACAUUACCUCAUCCCUCAAGACUGCACGCUACGAACACAACCCCUUGAGAAAUGGCCCAAGUACAGAGUUGAUCAGAGCCGUACAUUCUUGGCGCAGGCAGCGACAGCGUGCAGACCCUAAUGGUGAACUGCCUCCACUAACAACAGAGACAGAGAAAAAUCUCCCACCCACUGGUUCACUCCCCAGAUGCCCGAAACAGCUGAAGCUGAGUCAAGUGAAAACCAGGAGCUCAAAACUCAAGACCAUGAAUGCAAUAGCUGGUGGACUCCAUGCAUCCCAAACCCAAACGGAGAUGCUGCUGGGAAGUGGUGAUGGGCUGACAGGACACAUGAUCAUGUUUCACUAGGAAGAAAGGCUCUUCACAUGCUAAGGUAGCAAGUGGCUUAAACGCUCACCCAGUGCAAUGCAACCAAGAAGACUGAAGUCCAGAGACUGAAAAUGAUUCACCCAAGGUGGGGAUGGGCAAGGAACAGGCCUCGCAAGGCCUGGGAGGACCGGCACUCCACCCCUGCCAGGACGUCUGAGAGGAGGCGGUGGACAGCGGAUGCUGGGCCCGAGCCAGAGAAGGUGUGCAGUGCGGUGCUCGAGCCUCCUUCUGGACUCUGUCGGCUGUGCACUGUGCCGAAGGGAGAGAAGCUGCUCGGAUUCCCAUGGCACCUGACGCGGUUCAUUUGGUUUUCACAUCUACUAUCUCUGUGUGUAGGGCAAAGCCUUCCCCUUGGCAUUUCAUCCCAUUUGGAACGGGUUUUUAUAGCCGAGGCCCUGGGCCCACACCUCCUUCCUUUCCAACCCCCUUCCCUCCACAUCUCUGCCAUCAGAUAGGCGAUCAGCAGACUGCACUGGCCCCGUACUUUCCCCUGGUAGAGACCUGUGUUGUGCUUCCUCUAGAUUUCUAAAAACUGAACAGGUUGUAGGUUAACAGGAAAGUGGUGAGGAUAGCGCUGAACUCCCAUAUACCUCUCACCCAGUUUCCCUAUGGUCAACAUCACGACUAAGAACCCAGGAGACCAUGUGACCCUGUGUGCUCAGCCCCCUCCGGCCUGUUCCCGACAGUUCCUGACUCUCCUUGUCUUGAUGACCUUGCCAGAUAGUUUUGUCUUUUAAAAAAAAAAAAAGAUUUAUUUAUUUGAAAGGCAGAACAACAUAUAGAGAGGGUGAGACAGAGAGAGAGAUCUUCCAUUUGCUGGUUUACUCUCCAGAUGGCCACAAUGAUCGGGGCUGAGCCAGGCCAGGAACUCCAUCUGGGUCUCCCACAUGGGUGGCAGGGGUCCACAUGGCCAUCUCCUGCUGCUUUCCCAGGUGCAUUAGGAGGCAGCUGGAUGGGAAGCAGAGCAGCCAGGAUUUGACUUGGUGCUGCGAUAAGGGCUGCUGAUGUUGCAGGUGGCAGCUGAACCUGCUGUGCCACAUCAUCAGUAGUGGCCAGGUACGUUGCUUUCCUGGUAGUUGGAUGAAGGUUGUGAGAUUGGGGGAGGGAAGUUACAGAGGCACAGUAUCUCUCUAGUCACAGCCAUCAGUGUGACAUCCCUGACAUUACAUCACCUGGGUCACCUGGCCAAGUCAUGUUUGCCAGGGUCCUCCACCACUGCCUUACUGUUUCCCUUUCCAUCCUGCACUCUUUGGAAGCAGGCCUCACCCAAGGGAAGUGGGGAGAGCAGUUAACCUCCACCUCCUGGAGGAGGGAGUGUCUGUGUGUACUAUUUGGAAUCUUCUGUCAGAGGAGAUCCCAGAGAUGUUUUAAGACUUUUGGGGCCGGCACCGUUGCUCACUUGGUUAAUCCUCCACCUGUGGCACCAGCCUCCCAUAUGGGCGCCAGUUCUAGUCCCGGCUGCUCCUCUUCCAGUCCAGCUCUCUGCUGUGGCCCGGGAAGACAGUGGAGUAUGGCCCAAGUGCUUGGGCCCCUGCACCCACAUGGGAGACCAGGAGAAGCACCUGGCUCCUGGCUUCGGAUCGGCGCAGUUCUGGACAUGGCAGUUAUUUGGGGGGUGAACCAACAGAAAGAUGACAUUUCUCUCUGUCUCUGUCUCUCUCUCUCUCUGUCUCUCUCUCUCUCUCUCUCACUGUCUAACUCUGCCUGUCAAAUAAAUUAAAAAAUAAAAUAAAAUAAAC